rnacentral:tRNA from 1 species
GGCGCUGUGGCUUAGUUGUUUAAAGCGUCUGUCUACUAAAUAGGAGAUCGCGAGUUCGAAUCUCGCCGGGGCCU